GACGAACCGUGCAAACGUUAUUCGGAAUCACUGGGCUUAAAGGGCGCGUAGGCGGAUUGCCAAGUCGGUGGUGAAAUCGUUCGGCCCAACCGGACAAGUGCCGCCGAUACUGGGAGUCUCGAGGGAGGUAGGGGUCGAGGGAACUGGUGGUGGAGCGGUGAAAUGCGUAGAUAUCACUAGGAACGCCGGUGGCGAAAGCGCUCGACUGGACCUCUUCUGACGCUGAGGCGCGAAAGCCAGGGGAGCAAACGGG
rnacentral:rRNA from 1 species